UUAAAAAUAUCUCAAAUUCAAUGUCGAACUGAAUGUUAGAUUCCUUUGGAUUCACGAAACAUAAAAAUAAAAUAUAAAAUAAUCCUUAGGUAAUGGAAAUUAUAAUGUAUCUCAAUAUCAUUUUAAUUUUAGUUGUCCAAAGGAGUUAUUUUAUAUUUUAUUUUUACAUUUCGUGGAUUCAAAAGAAUGUCCAAGCUCGGCAUUAGAUUUAAGACAUUAGAUUUUAAAUACAUCAUAAAGAAGAAACUUUUUUAUCAGUCUCUAGUUAUUAUACAUUUUGAAUUGUUGCUAUGAUGUUAUAAAAAUAAUAUAUAAAAUAAUAUUAUUUAAAGAAAUAAUAAAUAAUGACAGAUUUACACAUAUAUAGAUAUAUAUAAAAAAAAUUCUAUAUAAUAGUAUUUUUUUUUUGCAAAUAUUUUAAAAACUAAGUCCGAGCGAUGGUGAAAUGCGAAGAAAAAAAUUAUUUAAAAUUUGAUGAUGUUGAUUUGUACAAUAUAUCAUUGAACAAUAAUGUACAAUAUAUCAGAGAAGUAGCAGAUAUAAUCAAAUCAUCAAGAAAAAUUGAAAUUGGAAAUAAAAACGAGGACAAAACAUUUUAUGCUAAUCAUUCAUUUAUUAUAUUGAAUAUAUAUAUAUAUAUAUAUAUUAUAUAUAUAUAUAUAUAUAUUAUAUUGAAGAUGAAUUCAUUGGAACAAUUAUUUAUAUCGGCAAAUCUAUGAACUUUCUGGACACAAUGUAAAAAUAAAAUAAAAAUAAAUUAUUAACAAAAAUCAACAUUUACUAUCUAAAUUUAGAAUUAAGAAUAUCAAAAACAAGUUAAUCUCUUUUAUUUGUAAAUAAUGAGAUAUUAAAAAUAAUUUUCAACUAAAAUGUUAACUUAAUAUAAUAUAAGUAUCAGGUAUCGUGAUUUAAUUAUUAUUAUUAUUAUAUGCAAUAAUUUCUUUCCAUAUUUUUACGUAUUAUUACGUAAGAUUUUAAGUAUUAUUAUUUAAAGUAUAUUUUUAAAAUAUUGCAUAAAUAAUCUUGUACUAAAAGUACUUAAUAAAAUAUAAUAUUUUUCUUUUUUUUUACAUUUAACGCAUUGUUAUUAUGUAUUUAAUUGGUAUUUAAUUGCUGUAUUGAAAUUUCUUUUCUUAAAUAUACUUAAUAAAAAUUAUAUCUAACUUUUUUUAUAUUAUUAUAUUUUAAAUUUCAUAAUAUUAUUAUAUUUUUUUUUAUAAUUUAUGCCAAUGAUAAUGAUCUUUUAUCUUUCUAUUUUCAUAAUAAAAUAAAAGUUAUAAUAGUAUUAAUAUAAAAUAUUAAUAUUAAUAUAAUUAAUAUAAUUAAUAUUAAUAUUUUUAGAUUUGAUCUUUCAAACAAAUUUCAAACUUCAAAUUUCAAAUACCAAAAAUUAAAAUAUUUUCAAUAUAUAUUUUUCAUAGAUAAGGUAAAAAUGCAAAUUAAUAUUGAUAAACUAAAACAUAAAUUAUUGAUAAUGUGUAUUUUUUAUAAUGUAUAUCUUUAAUAUCAUAUUUUUAGAGAUGUAACAAUUAUUAUAUUAUUAUGUUAAUACAUAAAUUAUAUAAUAUAUUAUUAUACAUGAUUCUUUUUUCUAUAAUAUAAUAUAAAAUAUAAAAACAAUUUUCGAUUUUGUAUAUCAUUUGCAUUUUUCAUUAUUAUCAUUGUCAAAAUUGUUUUAAUGUUCAUAUGUGAUUUAAAUUUAGAUAAGUUAGAUUUUUAUUUUAUAUUUUUGGCCCAAAAUUGUAAGCUAGAAAGAAUUGCUUACAGCAAUUUUAUGAUAUUAUAAAGAAUAAAUUAUAAAAAAACAUGCAUAGCAUAAUAAAUAAUAGCUUUGAUUAUACAAGAUUUUUAAUCAAAAUAAUGUAAAAAUUGAUUCAUAAUUAAAGAUAAUGAAAAUUAAAUAAUAAA